CCCGCCCGCGAAUCCCUGCCCGCCCGCGAAUCACGCACCCUCCCAUUCAGUCGUGACGCCCUCGCGCUACCCCAUCGCGCCGCCGCCGCUCCGUCCCCGGCUUCCAGCCACGCCGCGCCGCUCCAUCCACCUCCGCCAGCCAGCAGCUACGCUCGCCGGUCCUCUUCUGCUCGCCAGACGCCUCCGCUCGAGCUCCACCCGCCCGCCGCCUCCGCUGAGCUCCGCCUGACAGAUCCACCCUCAACCUCCGCCCAUCAUUGUCCGCGCAUCCCAUCAUUGUCCUCUGCGCAGGGGUUUCGUCUCCGCAGCCCUGAGGUCGCCCCCAUCACGACGUCCCCCUCCAUCCACUACUGCCUCUGCGUGCCGGCAGCUCGGCCCGCCGGUCACCUCCGCCUGGCAGCCCCUCCCCUCCACGUGGAUCGACGCACCACUGCCCCUCCGCUAAGCACGGCUUGCCACACCGCCACCCCUCCCCUCUGAAUGGACUGCCACGCCUCCAUCCUUGCCAAAAGCUCCAUUGGAGACGCUUCCCCAAACAGGUACUGCUAGCUUUGCUGGGUAUCCAUCCUACACCAACGGGGCGUGCUCCCCGCGUGCGCCGUUCGCCUCCGCCGCCCGCGUGCGCCGUUCACCUCCACCGCCACGCGACUACCCGCCGCUGAGACCACCGUGGCUUGACCCUACAAAAUUAAUUACAACUUUGACUUCAGCGAUGAAGGAUAGCUUCUGAUUGCAGUUAUGCGCCCAUCCUGCCUGUUUUCUUUAAACUUCUUCUACACAAUCAAGUAGGUAGCCCCUCCUGCCUGUUCUCAUUUCAGUAAAUAAUAAGAAAAAAAGGGAUACAAAGAGUAGUAAGUUGCAGGUAAUUCAUUUUCAUAUCCUUCAGCCUUAGCUAUCAUGUUUUCUCCAAUAUUUUUCGGCCAAACUGUUAUAUUGGUAGAUAGUUUGUUUCCUUAAAUGCUACAGCUUCAAACCUGGAUGGUGUUAGCUUUAGCUUAUGAAAUAGAGUUUGCCAUUUCUAUUCAUGUAAUUUUUUUUCCUAUGUGCCCUUUUUGUUUUGGAUAUGAUUGCUCAAACUGUUAUAUGACUGAAUUUUAAGAAUUGUUAUACAGAAAUAUGAUGUUGUUUAAAAUUACUACGAGAAAUUUCUAGCGUGUUCUUGUCAAGGUUUUUAAGGCGUCGCCUAUGCGUCCAGGCGGAAAAAACUCUGGGGUGUCUCCGUCGCUUAGCCAUCUGCUCGUAUGGCGUCCGCUUUAGCGGGGAAGGCGAACGCCUUACGCGCUGGGCAUCCGGGCGAUGGGAAGCGGGCGCGGCAGACGCCUUGCAUGCUGCCUCGCGGGCGAAUCGCCGUGCGUGGAAAGAAAGGGCGCGGGCGUGGGAAGAAUCGCGCCUUCCGCCUACAGCGCCGGAAGAAAGAGCGGGAGGGGGAAAGAGAGGGAGAGGAUACCCGCCGCCACUCCCGCCAUAGCCGCCGCCGUAGCUCCAAUCGAGGAUUCCCGCUUGCGCCGCGCGCCAAAUCCAAGCGCAGGGACGCAUCGCCCUACAUCUCCAUGGUGAUUCCCGCCGUGCGCCACUGGAUUGAAGCUCCUGGAGACCUCCGGCCACCAAAUUGACUGGACGCCGGCCCCAGCUGCAUCCACCUUCCCGCAGGUCGCGCGCGUGCGACAGAGACAGACAACGGUGGCGCAGGUCUCAGGAGAGCUAGGUUUUAAUUGCCUGGGGAUAGAGAUGGGCCGCAUGGGCCGCUGAAGGCCUAGGCCGGCCCAUUUAUUACUCCUGCAUCUUUCUUUUCUUCCUUUUCUUUUCUCUUUUCUUUUUUUCUUAAUCCUACUGCUCUAUCUAUCCUGCUGUUUUGUCUAUUGGUAAGGCGUCGCCUCGCCUUACGCUUUAGUCGCUUUAAGCGCAAGGCGGUAAACAGUUGCCUCGCCUCGCCUUACCACUUUAAAAACCUUGGUUCUUGUUUUUCUUUUAGUAUGUCAUUCAUGAAUUUAACUUCCACAGGUAGUGACAUUCUGGGAGGGGGAGAUAGUAGCUACUAAAAAAGAAGACGAUGAUGAUGCCACCGCCAUGUUCUUGAUGUGGUGCCUCUUCUGAGAAAAAUUUGGUGUGAUGCACUUUGAGUUGUAAAUAUAAGAAUUAUGAUUCAGUGUUCUUGUUUUGUUGUACUCCGCCUGUGAAUAAAAGUGCAUUGUUUCAUCUUAUUGUUUAUUCGGACUCAGAAUGUAAGUGAAAUAUAGAAAUCAAAGUGCAUGUUGACUCUUGUAAAUGAAUCAACAGUUUUGGUCAUGUAA